GUAGGGGGCAAGCGUUGUCCGGAAUUAUUGGGCGUAAAGAGCACGUAGGCGGUUUGCCAAGUCAGAUGUGAAAUCCCGCAGCUUAACUGCGGAACUGCAUUUGAUACUGGCAGGCUAGAGUACAGGAGAGGGAAGCGGAAUUCCUAGUGUAGCGGUGAAAUGCGCAGAUAUUAGGAAGAACACCGGUGGCGAAGGCGGCUUCCUGGACUGUUACUGACGCUGAGGUGCGAAAGCUAGGGGGGAGCAAACAGGAUUAGAUACCCUGGUAGUCCUAGCCGUAAACGAUGGGCACUAGGUGUAGGGGGUAUCAACUCCCCCUGUGCCGCAGCUAACGCAUUAAGUGCCCCCGCCCUGGGAGUACGGUCGCAAGACUA
rnacentral:rRNA from 1 species